GACGAACGCUGGCGGCGUGCUUAACACAUGCCAGUCGAACGGAAAGGCCCUGCUUUUGUGGGGUGCUCGAGUGGCGAACGGGUGAGUAACACGUGAGUAACCUGCCCUUGACUUUGGGAUAACUUCAGGAAACUGGGGCUAAUACCGGAUAGGAGCUCCUGCUGCAUGGUGGGGGUUGGAAAGUUUCGGCGGUUGGGGAUGGACUCGCGGCUUAUCAGCUUGUUGGUGGGGUAGUGGCUUACCAAGGCUUUGACGGGUAGCCGGCCUGAGGGUGACCGGCCACAUUGGGACUGAGAUACGGCCCAGACUCCUACGGGAGGCAGCAGUGGGGAAUAUUGCACAAUGGGCGGAAGCCUGAUGCAGCAACGCCGCGUGCGGGAUGACGGCCUUCGGGUUGGAAACCGCUUUCGCCUGUGACGAAGCGUGAGUGACGGUAAUGGGUAAAGAAGCACCGGCUAACUACGUG
rnacentral:rRNA from 1 species